rnacentral:rRNA from 1 species
UACGGGGGAGCAAGCGUUGUUCGGAUUUACUGGGCGUAAAGGGCGCGUAGGCGGUCGUGACAAGUCACUUGUGAAAUCAUCCGGGCUUAACUCGGAACGGUCGAAGUGAUACUGUCGUGCUAGAGUGCAGUAGGGGUAGAGGGAAUUCCGGUGUAGCGGUGAAAUGACGUAGAGAUCGGGAAGAACAUCGGUGGCGAAAGCGCUCUGGCUGGACUGCAACUGACACUCGAGGGACGAAGCUAGGGGAGCGAAUGGG